rnacentral:rRNA from 1 species
UGAGGAAUAUUGGUCAAUGGACGCAAGUCUGAACCAGCCAAGUAGCGUGCAGGAUGACGGCCCUAUGGGUUGUAAACUGCUUUUAUGUGGGAAUAAAGUGGCGCACGUGUGCGCCAUUGCAUGUACCUCAUGAAUAAGGACCGGCUAAUUCCGUGCCAGCAGCCGCGGUAAUACGGAAGGUCCGGGCGUUAUCCGGAUUUAUUGGGUUUAAAGGGAGUGUAGGCGGUCUGUUAAGCGUGUUGUGAAAUUUAGGUGCUCAACAUUUAACUUGCAGCGCGAACUGUCAGACUUGAGUACACGCAGCGCAGGCGGAAUUCAUGGUGUAGCGGUGAAAUGCUUAGAUAUCAUGAGGAACUCCGAUCGCGAAGGCAGCCUGCGGGAGUGUUACUGACGCUUAAGCUCGAAGGUGCGGGUAUCGAACAGGAUUAGAUACCCUGGUAGUCCGCACUGUAAACGAUGGAUGCCCGCCGUUGGCGCCCCUGCGCCUGCGGCCAAGCGAAAGCAUUAAGCAUCCCACCUGGGGAGUACGCCGGCAACGGUG